rnacentral:rRNA from 1 species
UACAGAGGGUGCAAGCGUUGUUCGGAAUCAUUGGGCGUAAAGGGCGCGUAGGUGGCCUGGCAAGCGUGCGGUGAAAGCUCGGGGCUCAACCCCGAGUCGGCCGUGCGAACUGCUAUGGCUCGAGCACUGUAGAGGCAGGCGGAAUUCCGGGUGUAGCGGUGGAAUGCGUAGAGAUCCGGAAGAACACCAGUGGCGAAGGCGGCCUGCUGGGCAGUGGACUCGAAAGGGUCCUUCAACCGACACUGAUGCGCGACAGCGUGGGGAGCAAACAGG